AAGUCGUAACAAGGUUUCCGUAGGUGAACCUGCGGAAGGAUCAUUACCUUUCAAUGCAGCAGAAUUGGGAUGGUUGAGUUUCUCGCCUCUCUUUUCUGCCUGUAUUCUACCCUUGUUUGUCAUAUACUAUUAUUUCCUCGGCAGGCUUGCCUGCCGAGUGAAACCAAUUACAACCUAUUUAAUUUUCAAUCAGCGUCUGAAAAAAAUUAAUAAUUACAACUUUCAACAACGGAUCUCUUGGUUCUG
rnacentral:misc_RNA from 1 species